rnacentral:tRNA from 1 species
GCGAAGGUGGCGGAAUUGGUAGACGCGCAGGAUUCAGGUUCCUGUGGGUGAAAAUCUGUCGGGGUUCGAGUCCCCGCCUUCGCA